rnacentral:rRNA from 1 species
GUUUUGUCCUUUCUGAAUUUUCGGCACGGUUUUCCCUUUUCAUUCGAGCAUCACUGUUUCAAUAAAGCAGAGAGAGAGAGAGGAAGGGGCACUCGAGCGGAGGAGGAGGAGACCAGGCGAUUCGUGUUGUUCAUGUCGAUUCCGAGACCCUCCUCCCCCACUUGUCGAGUUUGAUUUCUCUCCCCUUUCUCUUCGAUUCAUGACGUCUUCGGUUGGUCGGCCUCGUCAUUCUCCCUCCCGCGCAUGAUUUUUGAUUGUUUCUGGGUGUGUGGCUUUCCAGAUCUAGGUGAAUUGCUGCCGUGAUUUCUUUGUGGGUUCGUGAUUGGUGUUUGUAGCCGCCGUGUUGUUGUAGAUUCGUGGUAGGUGCUUGUAGUUUUAGCGGUUGGCUCUGCUUCCUGGCAUGCGUAAUCCUCCAUUGUUCCCCAUCUACUCUUGUGUAGGCGCUGGUAGUUGUCUCGUUUUUUUGUUAGAUGUAGAUGUAUAGAUUAGAUGCAGGGUUUCAGAUGAGUGUUUUUGUGGUUAGAGUUUGGUGACUUGCGCUGGCAGGUGGUCUUUAUGUUCGUGGAUCCUGUUGGUUUUUUGUUGUAGAUACAUGAAUUUUGGUAGGUUUAGUUGUAGUUAGUUGUUACCAGUGGCCUCUACUGCAUGUAGUGCACAGGUUCCAUGACUUCUGAGUGUUAUCAAUGGCCUCUGGGUGUAUCAGACUUACCCCAGCCUCCAGUUAGCUCUGUUUUUGGUGUAUUUUCCAGGUUAUAUUUUCUAUUUCCCCCUGUGUUCUAGCCCUGUACUUACCCCUAGUUUGUGAGUGUUGGUUCUUAUCAAUGUAUUUUUUUCAGUGCUCAUGUAUUAGAGUGUAAGCACAAUAAUUUAUGUGUUCUUUUGCUAGUAUUUGUUUUCUGAAGUUCAUGUAGGUUAUCUAGAUUUUCUAUUGAAUCAUGCGCUUUUCUCUGUACUUUUAUGUGCUUUGCACUUCAAUUCCUCUAUUCUUUCAUUUUUCUAAUGCUCCUGGUUGAUUGAACCAACCAGGAUUUGCAGUGUAACUCUAUUUGUAUUGAGCCUGUAUUUUACUUAUGUUUCUGUAGUGUAAUUAUCCUAGAGUUACUGCGUAAUUAUGUCCAGAGUUUCAGUGUAAUAUAGGCCAGAGUUACUGUGUAAUUUCCCUGAGUUGCAGUGUAAUUCCCCCCAGAGUUACCGUGUAAUUCUCAUGCUUAUUAUAUGUACUUGACCCUAGAGUUUUACACACUGUGAUUACCCUAGAGUUACUGUGUAAUUACCCCAGAGUUCCAGUGUAAUAUACCUUAGAGUUGUUGUGCAAUUUGUCCCAGAGUUUCAAUGUAAUUACCCCCAGAGUUACUGUGUAAUUCACAUGUUGCUUACAUGUUAUCCCAGAGUUAUAAUGUGUCCC